AACGAACGCUGGCGGCAUGCCUAACACAUGCAAGUCGAACGGGAUCCUAGCUUGCUAGGUGAGAGUGGCGGACGGGUGAGUAACACGUGGGAAUCUGCCUUUUGGUUCGGGAUAACCGCGGGAAACUGCGGCUAAUACCGAAUGCCCUCGAGAGAGGAAAGAUUUAUCGCCAGAAGAGGAGCCCGCGUCCGAUUAGGUAGUUGGUGGGGUAAAGCCUACCAAGCCGACGAUCGGUAGCUGGUCUGAGAGGAUGAUCAGCCACACUGGGACUGAGAUACGGCCCAAGACUCCCUACGGGAGGCAGCAGUGGGAAUAUUGGACAAUGGGGGCACCCUGAUCCAGCAAUGCCGC
rnacentral:rRNA from 1 species